AACGCACAUUGCGCCCGUUAGUAUUCUGACGGGCAUGCCUGUCCGAGCGUCAUUUAAACCCUUAAGCCCAGCUUAGUGUUGGCGGAUUGCUGCGCCCAGCGCUGCAACCGCCCAAAUCCAUUGGCGGUCCCGCCGCGGCUCCCUUGCGUAGUAACUCACCUCGCACCGGGCCCGGGCGGCGACCCGCCGUUAAACCCCCACUAUAACAAGGUUGACCUCGGAUCAGGUAGGAAUACCCGCUGAACUUAA
rnacentral:misc_RNA from 1 species